GAUGAAGAACGUAGCGAAAUGCGAUAAGUAAUGUGAAUUGCAGAAUUCAGUGAAUCAUCGAAUCUUUGAACGCACAUUGCGCCCGCCAGCAUUCUGGCGGGCAUGCCUGUUCGAGCGUCAUUUCAACCCUCGACCUCCCCUUGGGGAGGUCGGCGUUGGGGACCGGCAGCACACCGCCGGCCCUGAAAUGGAGUGGCGGCCCGUCCGCGGCGACCUCUGCGCAGUAAUACAGCUCGCACCGGGACCCCGACGCGGCCACGACGUAAAACACCCAACUUCUGAACGUUGACCUCGAAUCAGGUAGGACUACCCGCUGAACUUAAGCAUAUCAAUAAGCGGAGGA
rnacentral:misc_RNA from 1 species